rnacentral:lncRNA from 1 species
GUCAGCAGGUCGCCUGGGUCUCUGUCUCAGUGCUCAGCAGGGCGAGGACAGGACAGAACGGGCCCCAUCACAGACUGCGCUUAGAAGGAACUCAGUAAAACAAAGACCAUUUUCUUCUGGAGGCAACUCAAGGAGAUUUCCAGCAUCACUGGUACUCAAUAUUGAAGGAAUGAAAAUACGUGAGGAAUAAAAGAAUGAAGAAAGUGACCUCUACCGCAAGGACACAGGCCCUGAAGGCUGAGACUGUGAAGGGGGCAGGCAAAGAUCCACGCCCAGACAGGCCACCCCUGCUCUCCUGGGAAAGGGGCCGAGAGCCAGAGAGUUCGGGGCAGAGAGAGCCUGAGUGCGAGGCCCAGGCCAGGGCCUUUACCAGCAAAGACCGGCCCCUCUGCCUGCGCCCUGAGGUCAUGGAGAAAGGCAGGGGUGGGGGUAUGGUCAUCCUUCCCAAGGUCCUGGAGUCAGGUCUGCUUACCAAGCCACCGUGUGUCCCAUGACAUUCUGGAGGCCUCCGGGCCCAAUGGAGGUCACAUCCACCGUCCUCCCGGCCCUGUCCUGUCCACUGGGUGGCUGCCCUCUUCCCACCCUCCAGUAUUGACUGCGUUGUGUGGGAUGGGGAAGACCUCCGGUCCCCUCCACCAAACAAAGCACAAGCCAAAGUGCCCACCAGCGUGAGUGCCGUGAGCACCGUGAACCUUCUCUAUGCCGAGGGGCACACAGCCUUGAGCGUCCACGGGGGAUGGGCCUGUGGGUGCUUUCCCUCUGCCCCAGGGAAGCGGUGGUAAUCACACCUGUGAGAUGCCGACAAUCAUGCGUGCGACCAUCCGUCUCUAGGUGCCCGGGGCCUGGAAGCCCAGGAGCUCCCACAUCCAGGGAGGAGGCACGGAUCAGAUCACAAGCGCCCAUCACUGCCCUCCGUGCAUACUGGGAAGGCUGAUGGCAGAGGCUAAGGAAGGGGAGAGGCCAGGAAAAGUGCGUGAAGAUACAUACCAAACACACAACGCUCAACUCUCGCAGAGCUUUCUCUAAAUGCAUCUCACUUACCGAAAGAGUACCUGAAAAACAAA